rnacentral:lncRNA from 1 species
UCUUUAAGUCUAAACAAGACUUUGUAGACUCCCAGAGAAUACUCUAAUUAAAACCAGAGCUAUCCCCUCAUUGUCUGUUUUCCUGCCUCAUUUACUCCAGAUUUUUUUGACUUUGACUUUGUUUCGGUUUUUCUAGUUUGAAAACUUAUUCCCCAUUGGUGCCAGUGUGGUCUCUGUCGGUAAAACAUGACAAAGGAUUAGGAGGUCAUGAGAAGACAAGACUGCCACUUGGGCUGGGAGUUGGACCUGGGCAGUCAAGAGGAUCCUCAUUCCCAUCUCAGUCUCUGGUGCAGAAGUCUUUUUUUAACGUGCAGAAGUCUGCACCUUUAUUUUCCUAGAGAUGCUAUGAACUCCUUACAUCUGAGCUUGUGUUCAAGAGACAAGACAACAGAGGGGAAGAAAACCUGCUAA